ACCUGUCCGCCAGAGAAUUACGGGCGAAAGCCUAAAACUCAAAAGACUUGACGGUGUCCCAAUCCUGCCUAGAGGAGCCUGUUUCGUAAUCGAUAACCCCCGCUCAACCCGACCUCUCCUUGUAACCCCAGCCUAUAUACCGCCGCCCCCUUCUGCUUACCUUCUGAAAGACAAAGAGUAAGCCCAACAGCCCCUAACUAAAAAGUCAGGUCAAGGUGUAGCUUAUGGAGGGGAGAAAAUGGGCUACAUUUUCUAGUAUAGAACACUACGAAAAAUAUUCUGAAAUAAAAUGUAUGAAGGUGGAUUUAGUAGUAAG
rnacentral:rRNA from 1 species